UCCCAACGCCAAUAAUCACCUGAAACAUUCUAUUACAUAAAAGAUUUGUCCAAGAUGGCCUGAUGUGGAUAUCCACUAUGUGUUGGAGGAAAAGUAAAGGUCUACCACGUCAAGAUCUGUAGGAAUAUAAGCAGCUCAUCGGCCAGAAAUCUUUCACAAGAAGUCAACAGACAAAAGUAAAAGGGUGUGUGAUCUUUGAUGCCUACCGUGAAGCGUCCGUGACGACUCCCAACACUUCCUUUGCCACGACUAACCGAGCUGAACCGAAGUCCUCCGGCGGAUCAAAGCAACCCUUUUCCACGCACGCUUUGCAACCACCAUGAAGCUUUUCGUAGUUGCUCAUCUUUCCAAAGCUUUUGACAGAAGACAAAUAACACUGUCCUUUUUUUUAUGAAGCUUCGGGCGAAUCUGAUCUAUCUUCACACUUUUAAGGUCAUGCGAGUGUUGCUGGAGAUAAAAGACUAUUCUUUGGGUUGUAGCAUCCAAAAGGAAUGGUCAAU
rnacentral:lncRNA from 1 species